UGGUUCUGGCAUCGAUGAAGAACGCAGCGAAAUGCGAUAAGUAAUGUGAAUUGCAGAAUUCAGUGAAUCAUCGAAUCUUUGAACGCACAUUGCGCCCAUUAGUAUUCUAGUGGGCAUGCCUGUUCGAGCGUCAUUAAUUCCACUUAAGCCUCUUUGCUUAGUGUUGGGAAUCUACUUGAGCGGUGCUACCCGGGACUUACCCUGUAGCUACCCUGUAGUUCCUCAAAGACAGCGGCGGAGAUGUAGUAUCCUCUGAGCUUAGUAACUUGUUCCUAGCUUUCGAGUGGACUGCGCUUCUCGCCGUAAAACACCAUACUUUUUAAUGGUUGACCUCGGAUCAGGUAGGAAUACCCGCUGA
rnacentral:misc_RNA from 1 species